CCUACGGGGGGCUGCAGUGGGGGAUAUUGGACAAUGGGGGGAACCCUGAUCCAGCGACGCCGCGUGAGUGAAGAAGUAUUUCGGUAUGUAAAGCUCUGUCAGCAGGGAAGAAAGAAAUGACGGUACCUGACCAAGAAGCCCCGGCUAACUACGUGCCAGCAGCCGCGGGAAUACGUAGGGGGCAAGCGUUAUCCGGAAUUACUGGGUGUAAAGGGAGCGUAGACGGUUAAGUAAGUCUGGAGUGAAAGGCCGGGGCCCAACCCCGGGACUGCUCUGGAAACUAUUGGACUUGAGUGCAGGAGAGGUAAGCGGAAUUCCUAGUGUAGCGGUGAAAUGCGUAGAUAUUAGGAGGAACACCAGUGGCGAAGGCGGCUUACUGGACUGUAACUGACGUUGAGGCUCGAAAGCGUGGGGAGCAAACAGGAUUAGAUACCCUGGUAGUC
rnacentral:rRNA from 1 species